CACAUGCACACAGAUGUGUGUGCAUAUAUAUGUGUAUACAUAAAUAUACACAUACAUGUAUGAUACACACAUAAUGAAUAAUUAUGGA
rnacentral:miRNA from 1 species